rnacentral:miRNA from 1 species
CGAAACCGGAAGUGACGUCACGGACUCGUCUGCGUUCCAAUGUGUGUUCCAGUGAUGUUGUCUCCAUAGCAACCGGAUGUGAUAGCCACAGUGUGUAUAAUAUAAAGGAAACUAUCACAUCCGGUUGCUAUGGAGACAACCUCACUGGAACGCAGACGAGUCCGUGACGUCACUUCCGGUUUCG